rfam:Gregarina niphandrodes unplaced genomic scaffold scaffold00001, whole genome shotgun sequence.
GGCAAGGUGGCCGAGUGGUUAAGGCGACGGCCUGCUAAGCCGCUGGGUUCUACCCGCGUGAGUUCGAAUCUCACCCUUGUCG